rnacentral:rRNA from 1 species
GCUUAACACAUGCAAGUCGAACGAUGAAGCCCAGCUUGCUGGUGGAUUAGUGGCGAACGGGUGAGUAACACGUGAGUAACCUGCCCUUAACUCUGGGAUAAGCCUGGGAAACUGGGUCUAAUACCGGAUAGGAGCGUCCACCGCAUGGUGGGUGUUGGAAAGAUUUAUCGGUUUUGGAUGGACUCGCGGCCUAUCAGCUUGUUGGUGAGGUAAUGGCUCACCAAGGCGACGACGGGUAGCCGGCCUGAGAGGGUGACCGGCCACACUGGGACUGAGACACGGCCCAGACUCCUACGGGAGGCAGCAGUGGGGAAUAUUGCACAAUGGGCGCAAGCCUGAUGCAGCGACGCCGCGUGAGGGAUGACGGCCUUCGGGUUGUAAACCUCUUUCAGUAGGGAAGAAGCGAAAGUGACGGUACCUUGCAGAAGAAGCACCGGCUAACUACGUGCCAGCAGCCGCGUAAUACGUAGGGUGCGAGCGUUAUCCGGAAUUAUUGGGCGUAAAGAGCUCGUAGGCGGUUUGUCGCGUCUGUCGUGAAA